rnacentral:rRNA from 1 species
UGCAGUCGAACGAGUUCUGAUUAUUGAAAGGUGCUUGCAUCUUGAUUUAAUUUUGAACGAGUGGCGGACGGGUGAGUAACACGUGGGUAACCUGCCCUUAAGUGGGGGAUAACAUUUGGAAACAGAUGCUAAUACCGCAUAAAUCCAAGAACCGCAUGGUUCUUGGCUGAAAGAUGGCGUAAGCUAUCGCUUUUGGAUGGACCCGCGGCGUAUUAGCUAGUUGGUGAGGUAACGGCUCACCAAGGCAAUGAUACGUAGCCGAACUGAGAGGUUGAUCGGCCACAUUGGGACUGAGACACGGCCCAAACUCCUACGGGAGGCAGCAGUAGGGAAUCUUCCACAAUGGACGCAAGUCUGAUGGAGCAACGCCGCGUGAGUGAAGAAGGCUUUCGGGUCGUAAAACUCUGUUGUUGGAGAAGAAUGGUCGGCAGAGUAACUGUUGUCGGCGUGACGGUAUCCAACCAGAAAGCCACGGCUAACUACGUGCCAGCAGCCGCGGUAAUACGUAGGUGGCAAGCGUUAUCCGGAUUUAUUGGGCGUAAAGCGAGCGCAGGCGGUUUUUUAAGUCUGAUGUGAAAGCCCUCGGCUUAACCGAGGAAGUGCAUCGGAAACUGGGAAACUUGAGUGCAGAAGAGGACAGUGGAACUCCAUGUGUAGCGGUGAAAUGCGUAGAUAUAUGGAAGAACACCAGUGGCGAAGGCGGCUGUCUGGUCUGUAACUGACGCUGAGGCUCGAAAGCAUGGGUAGCGAACAGGAUUAGAUACCCUGGUAGUCCAUGCCGUAAACGAUGAAUGCUAGGUGUUGGAGGGUUUCCGCCCUUCAGUGCCGCAGCUAACGCAUUAAGCAUUCCGCCUGGGGAGUACGACCGCAAGGUUGAAACUCAAAGGAAUUGACGGGGGCCGCACAAGCGGUGGAGCAUGUGGUUUAAUUCGAAGCAACGCGAAGAACCUUACCAGGUCUUGACAUCUUUUGAUCACCUGAGAGAUCAGGUUUCCCCUUCGGGGCAAAUGACAGGUGGUGCAUGGUUGUCGUCAGCUCGUGUCGUGAGAUGUUGGGUUAGU